CCUGAAUAAAGGAGAACAUGAAUUCUCAUAUCCUUUUUUCUAAUCAGAAAAAAACCUUAAUGAUUUUAUUCAUAAACUGUUUUACUCUCCGUUCUUUUUCUUUUUUUUUUUUUUUUUGAGGAAGAGUAGUCCUGAGCUAACAUCCACUGCCAAUCUUCCUCUUUGCUAAGGAAGACUGGCCCUGAGAUAACAUCCGUGCCCAUCUUCCUCUACUUUAUAUGUGGGACACCUGCCACAGCAUGGCUUGACAAGCAGUGGUCCACACCCAGCAUCCAAACUGGUGAACCCUGGGCCACCAGAGCAAGGUGCCCAAAUUUAGCCACUACGCCACCAGGAGGCCGGAUAUGAGCGGAAGAGCCUUAAGUAUAUGUUUUCCCCAUAGAAACAAGAGCGGUUGUGACUUAGGCUAAUGGUAACGCUUGGGAGAAAGGAAGAAAGUCACAAAGCUACUGAAACAACGCAGUUCUGAAGCUCAAAGCAUCUAUACUCAGUCUGCCCCUUGUCUGUGAAGAACACACAAGUGGGCAGAGACUACGGGAUGUGCAGGUGACGUGCUGUCUAUCUUCUGCUUCAGCAGUUUGGGGCCACUUAGAAAUUUAUUAGCAUUUCCUCUUCCCACGAGGCAUGCGCACAUCCUGCAGGCCUCCGACCCUCCCUAAGUACUUUUUAAGGGUUUAGAGUCGUGCGGACGUGUGUUAACGCACGUUGGUUUGAGUGGAGCAGCCUCGUCUAGUCAUCAGACAACCAAAAACGGUUCAUUAUCCUUUUGUUCCCAUCUAAGAGUGAGCAUUUGUUCUCAGCAAAUGCUAAAGGCUGGGUUAUAGUGAAUGUGCUUCUCAGUGCCCUUCUAGGAAUCAGGAGAAGUGGCGCUUAAAGGAGGCCAGGUGCAGGAAGGAUUCUAAGGGAAAAAGUGUUAUUAAGAGAGAAACCCGCGUUGAAACCCUUGCUGGGCGAGCCACGGGUGUCUGCAGCGCGCUUAUCACCGAAAGGCUCGCCAGGACCCCAGGCGGAGGGCUCACGCGGUGCUGUUGCGCCCCCAGCAGGGACUCUGGCCCUUGCACCAAGAGGAACUGGCAGCCCCUCAAAGGGUUGUUGUGAACUAAUGAUGAAUAUGAGAGCAAGAGCAUGUCAGAAACAUCGUGUCUGUUGCAGGAAUGUAGUGUCCAUUCUGUUUUGUAUUCUGAUCUCUAAGAAAAAUGUAAACAUUUAUUGAUGUUUCUUAUAACAUUUUCUUAGAGAGCCACCUGCCUGAGCAGAUACAGCCUUCUCAAACCCGUGGUUCUCAACCAGGGGAGACUUUGACCUUAGGGGACACUUGGCAAAGUGGAGACAUUUUUGGUUGUCACCACUGGGGGUGGGAAGGAGGGCUGUGUGCUGCUGGCAUCUGGUGGGUGGAGGCCCCUACGACUAAGAGGAUCCAGCUCACGAUGUCAGUGUUGAGGUUAGAAACCCUGUCCUACGCAAUUAGAAUGUUCUGGGUCUUUUGGUUACAUUUGUUACUUCCUAACUGAAUCCACCUGUCUUUAAAAGAAAAAUUCAGCAGACAGCCUUUCUGGGCAAGGGGGCGAUGGAAAUAACCCACAGGUGAAUUCUGUAGGUCCAUGUGACCCUUGUCACAAUUUCUUCCAAAGCAUUUUCGCCAAAAAGGGAAUUUUGCUUUGCAGAAUAGCACUCAGGAGAAAAUUCCUCCCCAUAGGGAUAUACCUGGAAGGUAAAUUUUACUCAGUUAUUUUAUUUUCAAAAAGAAAUCUAAAACAGGCUCCAAAAUUGUUUUUCACAUAAAAUUACCUGCAAAGCUGGCAUAGCUGUCAGUCUCCAUAUAGAGCAUGCGUAAAACACCUUCACGUGAAACCCCUAAAAUUCCCUCUCACUGUGGACAGCCCCAUCUUAUUUCUUGGACUAAACGCACUGCAUUAAAAUUUACUUUUAGGGGGCUGGCCCCGUGGCCGAGUGGUUAGGUUCACGUGCUCCGCUUCGGCAGACCAGGGUUUCACCCGUUCAGAUCCUGGGUGCGGACAUGGCACCCCUCAUCAGGCCAUGCUGAGGCGGGGUCCCACAUGCCACAACUAGAAAAACCCACAACUAAAAAAUACAACUGUACGAGAGGGCUUUGAGGAGAAAAAGGAAAAAUAAAAUCUUUAAAAAAGAAAAAAUGUAGCAAGGACAUAGUAAAACUAUCAUUCAGCUCAAAGCAUAUCAAGGUUCUUUCUGGCAGGGUGGUUGGGAAAAAAGUCAGGUACCCAGUUCUCUCUAGACAUCUCUGCACGUGAAGUGCUGCUGACCUCUCCCCACCGGAGCUCACAUGUCAGCAUUCCAAACACCCACAGGAACCGCUCUGACUUCAGUGUGCAUUGCCUCCCUGGAUGGCCUGCGUGGCAAAUUCCGUUUGAGACCAGAGCCCUAAGGGGCACCGGCUUCUGGUGUGUUGGAGAUGGAGAAUUGGCCUCAUGGCUGCUCCUACUCGAUGUCAGCAACUCAACAUCUCGUCCUCUCUCGCGGCUCCCGGGCCCUCAGUGGACAGGAGAGUGGUCAGCACCAUGGUGAAUCUGAGAGAUCGAGGUAAACACGGCCAUUGGGGCACCGUGCUCCCUCCAGCACGCCCCUGGUCCUGGUGGGCCCUUAAGGGAGAAUGCUUCCUAGCCUCCCCCAGGGGCGCAACUCCACCCCCGCUGUGCUCCUCGCAGGUCUUAGGAACAGGCGCCUUUCCUGCCGUCGUUCCUCCUGUAGAGUGUGCCUCCACGGCCUGUGAGGGAGAAAAGGCCCAAAGCCGAGCCCUGUGCUGCUCAGGACAUGGCCUCAGCUACAAAGACCAAGUAGGAACCUCAAAUUACUGCCCAUGAGGCCGAGGCCUUCCCGGCCCGCGAAGAUCUGAGGAGGGCGAGCAUCUUUCCCACCUUUCAGCAUGUGCGCCCGAGGCCGUCCUUGCUUUGGCAACCCUUCCAAUAUGCUUCCUGGGAGACAAGGCCGCCCUGGCUGUGGGGCCAGCUGCCUGCUGGCUGCAGGGCCUUUCCCUGCCCGACCUGGGGAGGGGAGAGGUUGCACUCAGCUGAACCUUGACCUCUCUCAGCAGCCCCAGCCCCUGAGUUCCAGGGCCAGGGCUUUCCCGCCCACCAGGCACCUCCACCAACGUGGGACCCACUGUCUUCAUACACAGAGCAGAGACACUGGAAACGUCUGAAGCUUCCAUGAGCUUUUUAAUCCUUUCUCUGCUCCCCGCUCCUUGAAAAGACAUCAUAAAAUGGCAGCAUUUCUGACAAAGCUUUCCAAUGGAUUCAGACUGAUAAGCCCCAAAAGGUGACCCUUCCAACUUACAUUCCUCAGAGUCGUUAAAUUGCAUGAUUAAACCAAAAAUCUAGUCAUCUUUUGCUGCUCAGAAACCAUCAAUGGCCCCCCUGCCUACAGGGCCAAGCCUGACAUCCCUGGUGGGGGAUGAGGCCCUUCACAGCUGCCCCAAGGGGCGUCCCAGGCCGUGUCCUCAGCCCCUGAGCCCCUCCCCCACCUUCCUGAAAGCACCGCCCCUCCACACCUGCCCAGCAACCUGAGCUGGUCCCCGCCUCCUCUCUCAAGGCCCAAGUCAGAUAUGAGUGCCGCUGUGAGGCCCCCGUGACUCCCCCACCCCACAGACAGAUGCCUGCCUCCUCUGUGCUUCACGUCCUCGGUCCCUCCUGCCUCCUUCCUGCACAGCAGAGAGCGGCCCGGGCAACCACCCAGCAUCUCCAGUCAGAAGAUCUGCUUCUCGGCACUGCCCUGUGCUACCAGGAAACAGCUGUAAAACCACUCACCUUUCUUAGCCUGGGUUUUCCCCUCUGUAAGGCUCUUGAGAGGGAUAAGUAUAUGUGUGUACACACACCAUUAGAUGGAAGGGCACUCCAUACCUCUAAAGGACUAUACAAAUGUCAGCAUCAGGCAUUGUCAUCGUUGACACGGUGGCCACCUGGGUCCCUGGAGGAAGGUAGCAACAUCCUACUCAUCUCCAUACUCUCGCCCUGGCAGGUCUCUGGCACCUGGUAGGUGCCUCAUGAAUGUCUCCGAUGUUUGAUGAGUGGUUGGUAAAGGUCAGUACACCUCCUAGACCGUGGGGCUGGUGAAAUGCUCCCGUUGCACGAAGCGUUUCCCUCUAACUUGCCGGUUUGCUGGAUAAAGUUCAACGGACGCCACAGAAUAUGGAGCAUCAUCUACAAAUUCAGAGGCAGCCCUCUUCUCCGCCUUCAGCCUUGACAUUCAAGGACAGACACAGGGCUCCUGGAAGGAGACGCAGAGGCAAGGCUUCUGGGGGUGAGGGUGUUGUUCCCUCGCUCUCACAAAGGGCACUUCCUUAUCAGAGAAAGGAUGUGGAUGCCUGUGGACCCCCAGAGCGCGCCCGAGGUCAGAGGAGAGAGGGGCCUUCAUGUUAUGAUCGAGAGCACAGAACAAUACAACAGACCCUGUGUGAAGGGAGCUCCCUUCCCUCGUGAGGAGAAUGCAGAAAAGGACACCAACACCUGCUCAGAGAGAAAAAUGAGACUGGCGUCAGGAAUAGGAAAGACCAGAAAGGUGUGAGGGUAGAGACAGCGCCUGACAACUCCAUGGAAGGAGCAGAGGACUCGAGGAGCUCAUUCCUGACCCUCCUAUAAUCCAGAAGCAGCCACCCCAUGAUAUUUUGAGAGUUCCUGGGUACCUUCUUUCUUUUCCCCUUUUCUCUUUUUGCUAGCUGGAACAAUUUUCAGAAACUCCCAAAAAACAGUUUGAUUAGCAUGAAAAAGCUAGGUACUGAGUACAUGUUUGAAAUGUUCCAUAACAAAAAGUUUUUAAAGCUUUACAAAAAAAUUUUUACAAAAGUAAAUAGUCUAUUUCCUUUUAAGUAACUUUAUCUUAACUUAGACAUAUUAAAAUUAAAAUAAGUGAUAGGAAAGACAUACUAAGAUUAAAAAAAACACUUGAGAUUGCUUUCAAAUGGCGACAGAGAUUUAUUUUCUGGUACCUUGAAAUGCAUUCAUCAGAAAUAGGGCAGGCUACUAUUAUUAGCAAUUGACAGGAAAGUUGUCGCUCAGAAGUAACCAUAUUAAAGAUUUCAGACAUCUUAACACAACAGUUGGUGAUGAAUAAUGUCAAUUUGUUCAUUAUACCUAUGCACCUGAAAGUUCUAUUUUUUAUGCUAUAAAUUAGUUGACCCAAAUGUGUUUUUUUAAUAGGUUUGUUUAAGAAGUAUAAACAGUUUUUAAAAGAGAACAGUGUAUACUUCUUCUAUUAUUUGCAAAUUGCCUUGGAGAAAGACCGCUGCCCACCUCUGUUUGUGAAACUGAAAGGAUAGCGUAAGCGAGAGGAGGAGCCAGCGUGCAGGGAAGAGAAGUGACGCGAGCGGCCUCCCCUCCAGGAGCUCCAUCAGCAGCCAGUCCUCCC
rnacentral:lncRNA from 1 species